rnacentral:lncRNA from 1 species
UGGGCUUCUUGGGCUCCGGCGGCGGCAGCUUCUCCACGGUCACAGUCAGUACGCCGUCCUUGCACACGGCAGAGAUCUUGUCCAUGUCGGCAUUAUCCGGGAGCACGAACUUGCGCAUGAACUUGCCCAUCCGGCGCUCCAUGCGCAGGUACUUGGCGUCCUCGCGCUCCUCCCGCCGCCGCUCGCCGCUGAUCACCAGCACCCGCUCGUCCUCCACCUGCACCUUGAUGUCGCCCGUGCCCAGCCCCGGCAUGUCCACCACGAACGCAUACGAGCUGGGCAGCUCCUUCACGUCGGCAGGGGUCGCCGCCAUGGCGCGCGCGUCACGGACGUAGGUGCGCGUGGGGCCGCCGCCCGCCGCGGCGCCGGCCUUGUCGCCGCCCGCGCCGGCGUCGCCGUCGGGGACGUCCAGCAGGUGCUGCAGCGCCGCCAUCAGGGGAGUCUCCAGCCCGAACAUCCUCGCGUCCAUCUCGCCGCCGCGGAUCUUGGCCUCCCUCACUCGAUUUGCUUUGGUUGCUUGGUUUGCUGAUUUGCGGAUUGCUCAGGUGUUCGUGUGUUUCUUGGUACUGCGUGGAGUGAGGAGGGGAGAGGGAUGGCUUAUAUGCCGGUGGGAGGAGGUAGAGUCUGGAAGGCCAUGGAAGGUUCUGAAAGGGGGGAGGGGCUGUGCGCGCGGCGCGGCGCGGCGUUGGCGCGGGUAUGAUGGUGGAGAAGCAUCUGGAAUAUAAUAGAGCUUCUGCGGUUGGAAAUCUAGGAGACAGUAGACUUUUCUGGACCUACUUGUCAUCUCGUUAGCUAUGACACGUGUCUGUGGGCCCUGUCUUUAUCCGUCCGUCUUUCCGCUGAGAUAUUUAUUGGGCUUUUGCUCCACUUUUCCGUUCUUUUGCCGAGAGAGUUCCAGACUUCUACUUUUGAAUUUGAAAGGAGAUUUUGCGAUCGCUUCAUAUGCUGUAACAAGAAAAAUGUUAAUGCGGAAGAGGGUAGUUUUUUGCCGGUGAAAAUAACUGGGUAGGAUUUAGCUUCCCCCUGGCGAUCACUUUUACUGGAGCUCAGUCCACUAACAAUCAACCGAGCCCCUUGUUACUCAGGUGUUAGGUCUCACCUUUUAAGUUAUGCUCCCGAACUUAGAGAAAUUCUGGUAAUUUCUCUUCUCAUUUGGAUGGAACUCGUUAAUUUUUUAAAUUUCAGUAAAAUUUUACUAAAAGAAUAUAAAUCUUGUCCAUUUUUUGGUCUACCGACAACUCCGAUGAAACUUAAGCGGUAAGUAAAUCCUGAAGGAGAUAUGCUAGCAUCUGAGCUAGUUCUGCCCUGCAGCUUGAGGAACAUCAGAAAGCAUUUGUUGCUUCAAUACAUGAUGCAGAAAUAGUGGAAACACCACGAACUAACAAUCCAUAACUCGAGUACUUGACCCACCAAAAUGCUAUGGGUUGAAUUAUUGCUACAGACAGCUACCAGAUCGGAAAAAGCAGCCACCACUAGAACAACACGAUCGUAGAUCAUUUUUUUCAGUUAAGGAGCCUUAAUUUUUCUGAACAACGGCGACUCAGUUGGGUGCUUCAUCAUAUUGUGGUCAAAUCUUAUCCCCAUGGUUUCCACAGCGCAAGCAACAAAACUACACCACAACAGCGUGUCUAAACUCUAAAACUUUCCUAAACUAGGCGUGGCCGUGUCCUCAAAACAUGUUUCUGGCACAUCAGAAAUCAAAACAUUUUUACAGAGAUUCUGCUUACUCGAGAUAGACCCUUUUCUCACUAGUCCUAAACAAGGCAUAUUCAUGUUUUGAGUCAUCUGGUGACGGCGUUUUAACAAUUCUACUUGUACAAGCCAUUCAGAGUGAGAUGUGCAUCCAAAAAAAGAGCAAGGCCUUGUUUAGUUGGCGAAUUUGGGAGGUGCCAAAUUACUGUUACAGCACUGUAGCACACUGUAGCGUUUCGUUUGUAUUUGUGAAUUAUUGUCCAAAUAUUGACUAAUUAGGCUCAAAAGAUUCGUCUCGCAAAGUACAACAAAACUGUGCAAUUACUUUUUAAUUUCAUCUAUAUUUAGUACUCCAUGCAUGUACCGCAAAUUUGAUGUGUGGGGAAUCUUCUUUUUGCAUAGGGGCUGUUUGGAUACAAGGUGUUAAACUUUAACAGUGUCACAUCGGAUGUUCGGAUACUAAUUAGGAGGACUAAACAUGAGCUAAUUAUAAAACUAACUGCAGAACCCCUAUACUAAUUCGCGAGACGAAUCUAUUAAGCCUAAUUAAUCCAUCAUUAGCAAAUGGUUACUGUAGCACCACAUUGUCAAAUCAUGGACUAAUUAGGCUUAAUAGAUUCGUCUCGCGAAUUAUACUCCAUCUGUACAAUUAGUUUUGUAAUUAGCUUAUAUUUAGUACUCCUAAUUAGCAUCCAAACAUCCGAUGUGACAGGUGUUAAAGUUUAAUAGGGUGUUCCCAAACACCCCCAUAGUGUCAAAGUUGGAAGUUGGGAGUAACUAAACAUGACCCAAGAAACGAACAAGAUGCAGAUUUAAUUAUUCAGAAAGCAGUUCACAUCAGCUUCUGCAUUCCGUAGCACAGAAGCCACAUACCGAGCACCGCACAGCCACAAAAGAACGGAAGAAACUCUCAUGAGCACACUAGUCACUAUCACUCAUGCCACCCCGCAUCACUACUGCUCUCAUCCUCACCACACUCACUGACACUCCCCUGAAGUCCUGAACUUAUUAGGCUUGAUCGAUCCUCGCUCAUCCUCUCAGGCGAUCUUGACCUCGAUGGUCUUGGGCUUCUUGGGCUCCGGCGGCGGCAGCUUCUCCACGGUCACCGUCAGCACGCCGUCCUUGCACACGGCGGAGAUCUUGUCCAUGUCGGCGUUGUCCGGGAUCACGAACUUGCGCAUGAACUUGCCCAUCCGGCGCUCCAUGCGCAGGUACUUGGCGUCCUCGCGCUCCUCCCGCCGCCGCUCGCCGCUGAUCACCAGCACCCGCUCGUCCUCCACCUGCACCUUGAUGUCGCCCGUGCCCAGCCCCGGCAUGUCCACCACGAACGCGUAGGACCCCGGGAGCUCCUUCACGUCGGCCGGGGUCGCCGCCAUGGCGCGUGCGUCGCGGACGUAGGUGCGCGUGGGGCCGCCCGCCGCUGCGCCAGCCUUGUCGCCGCCCGCGCCGGCGUCGCCGUCGGGAACGUCCAGCAGGUGCUGCAGCGCCGCCAUCAGGGGAGUCUCCAGCCCGAACAUCCUCGCGUCCAUCUCGCCGCCGCGGAUCCUGGUCGCUCUUCUCUCGGUCUCUCCUUUGGGGAUCUCGCUUGGUCGCUUUGGUUGCUUGGUUUCUUGAUCUGUGGAUUGUUCUUGCACUUGUGUGAUUCUUUCUGUUGCUUGUGACGAGGCAGGACAGGAGAGGCGAUUUAUAUUGGUGGUGAGAGCUGAGUCUAGAAGGUGAUGGAACAUUCUGAAAGCUGGUGGAGUGUGCAGGGGCGCCUCGUAAGCGUGGGUGUUGAUGGUGGGUGGAGAAGAAUCUAGAAUAGAUUAGAGUUCUGUCCUUCGAAUGGUCUUUCUCUAGGAGGCAGUGUUGUUUCUGGGCCCACAUGUCAUAGAGGAGUGAUGGCACGUGUCUGGUGGUCCUAUCCGUGUCUCCGAACAGAUAUUUUCGAGCGCUUUGUUCCCACUUUUCUGUGCCAUUCCCUUCUGGAAAGUUCUUUUUAGCGAUCCUUCUAGAAGCAUUCUAGAAUUCGAGAUUUUGAAAUUUGUCGAUCGCUUCAAUCUUGUAACAAACUGAGCACAACUAUGAAAGCACCCGUCUUCAAUCUGACGUGGGCAAAUGCAUUCAGAUGCUAGUCCUAGAGUGCUGAGCAAUGCGAAAUGGUGGAUAUCGAAGGUAGGCAAGGCCAGUUUCCAGAAUUUAAAAAACAAUGAGCAUACAUACACCCGAGUACUCGACAGAAUUGUGGGUAAAAGUAAUACAACAUAUUAUUCCAAAGUCUAUGCAGAAGUAAGAUAUUACAAGAUUUGUGUUAAGAUCUCGAUUCUAUUCUUUAACUUGUAAGCCCGCAAGGAAAAAAAAAACUGAAGAAAUAAGCCCCAGAUAUUUACAGGGUGCCCUAUCCAAAAUCUCAACCUUUUCUUAAGCAGGGACAAAAAUCUCCAGGCCUCUUAUGAAGAUUGCGCAGAUUUGCCUGAGCUGCGACCUCUAAAUCCGACCACGCUGAGCUUAGUUCCCAACUUGUUCAGAAUAUCACCCUUCGCCUUUCGACCCGCUGGUUUUGCUUUGCUCUUUGAAACCUUCACGCUGUUAUUUGCGGGUUUCACCAGCUUCGCUUUCUGGGGUGCUGCCGAUUUUUUCGCUUUUGGCUGAAUCUUUGGUGGUAAGCGCCUUCGGGUUGAAGUCGUGUCCUUGGGAGUCCUAGAUGACUUGCUAGAUAGCACAACUCCUCUUCUACCCUUCUGAUUGACAACUUUAAGAGCACUUGAAGUCUUAGCCGACCUUGAGGUCCUUCCUUUGGUGCUCGCACUCUGUGGGUUCGCAGCCCUUCUGACAUUGUUAGUUGUCAGAGCUUCCAAGCUCUCAUUUUUCUUCAUGGCCUCUUCAAUCUUUGUAGCUAAAGCCACAUUUUUCUUAGCCACAAGGCUUGUAACUUUCCCUGCAUUUGGGAUGACAAUGAGGAUUCAUGAGUAGACAGAAUAUGAAAAUGCAAAACUGCUCCCUGUCCAAAGAUCAUAAAGCCACGACUACUCACUGUUUGUGGAUAUCUCUGAGUGGCAAACAUAUUUUUGCUAACCCAUCUCCCUUCUGACACAAAAUCACAUAUUAUUUUGUUUCACAGGAGCCAUUUCAAACUCCCUUUAUUCUAUUCCUUUUUUUUUCUAAGCUUGAAAAGUGUAACUGACUUUUUUUUAUCCAAACUACAAUUGAAAAUUCUUUUACUGAAUGAACAGCAAAGUUUCUCUGCAGCGAAGACAUUGAAAUGGUAACCUAAGCUUCAACAAUGGAGGGUAGUUUCUGGUCCGUAAUUAGGUCAUGACAAAAAUAUAACGGAUCAUAGUGAAUAGAAUACAUGAUUAGCAAAGAAAUGAUAAAGAGCAAGUAAAUGCGUACAGUUAUAGCUGAGAAUCGUUACCUUUGGCUCCCAUGCGUGCAGUUCUUCCAGUUCUGUGAAGAUAAUCAAUCUAAAAACACAAAAGAUAAUUACAAGAUAGAUGUGCAUAAGAAUCACUAUGAUGGGAGUAAAUGCAAUCAGACCAUGUAGUAAGUGUAACGCAUACCGAAUUCGAUGGGAAGUCAAACAUGAUGACAUGGUCAACAUCCAAGUCCAGACCUCUAGCUGCCAGAUCAGUGCAUACCAAUGUUGGGCAAUCCCCCUCUUCAUUACGGAACUUGUUCAGGUUCUCAACUCUACAAUUGAUUACCAGGUCUCAUAAAAAUGAAGUCACCUGCUUAAAAAACAGAACAGAAUAAGAAACACAACAAACCUCUCUUCGGCCGGGACCUCUCCAUGAUAGUUAACAGUAGAUAUCUGAUUCUCAGUCAGAAAAUGGUCCACUGCGCGACUUGAAUUUAAAGUAUUACAGAACACCAUAAUUUUGUUUCCCUUCGCCAAGCUUGGCUCAAGAACCUACAUAAAAUAGAGUUCUUCAUUAUCUCAUGAGUUAGAUAGUUUUAAAUAUAUGUGUAUUGCAGUUCUGCCUCUGUCUUCCGACUCUGCCACAUUCAAUACUAAAGUCCACAUAGGACAAAAUAAAACUUGAUUAAUGAUAAAAGCAAGCAAAGAAUGACUCUGCCUCGCAGAUUACCCCAAAGGCCCAAACUAGCAGGAGGCCAAAGAUGUUUUGAGAAAGAUCACUUCUUAAUUGAAUUCCAGAUGCAAUAGUGUGUUUACUAUUUCAUUCAUAGUUCACAACUUCACAUUUUCACAAAAAUUGGCAUAAAAUUCAUCCACCCAACAGAGUAUGGGGCCCUUGGGGCAAUUUAUUUGAUUGCAGGCACAGGCAUACUGAAUAUGGCUGGGGAUUUUCCUAUGAGUAUUGGAGCGUGUCCAAGCAGAUUAAAGAGGAUGAGUUGUCAGAGGCUGCAAUUAUUUGAAUUAUUUCUGCUAUAUUUAUCAUAAAAAGGAGGAGGUGCAAGAUUCUCAUUCGGACUUCUUGCAGAGUGGAACAACACAGUACCAGAAAACGACAUAUGUCUUACAAAGAAGAAACAUAAUUGUACUGACAACAAGAUAUAACAAGAAAUGGAGAAUACAAAUACAAAACUAGUCUGUUGAAUUUUCUUUCAAAAAUGUCCAGUUCGAAAGUAGCUUGGAUUGGAUGGAAAGACAGGUGUAUGUGCAUAGGAGAGGAGUGAAGAGUUAACCUGCAGAAGAGCCUCAAGUUUGUUUUCUGAGCCAGUGAGUUUGAUAAAGUCAUGUCGUGCUGUUGCAACUCUCUUUUGAAAUGUUGAUGUCCGCAAAUGGACAAUACCUUCAAAUUCCUCAUCAAUCAACUUUUGUACAGCCUGCAGUAAAGGAAUACCGAAAAAAGGGGAUUAAAAUACAUAAUAACAAUAACUAAUUAAACAAUACCCCCUCUGUUUCUAAGUAUAUGGCGUUUCGGACAAGUUAACUAAUUCAUUUUUCAAUUAAUUAGCUUGUCCUAAACAUCAUAUAUUUAAAAACAGACGGAGUAUAUGUAUAUCUGAAGUAUCAAUACUGCUACAUGGAAGAGGUCAAAAUAUUUUGUACUUAAAUAGUAAUUGGUGCAGCAAGUAAGAUGCUUUAAAGGUGGACCAAUAAGCAGUGUGUACUAACCAUGUAUGCCAUAUAUGAAUUACAAGCAGAGAAUCAGAUAGGUUUGGAGGGAGGGAUGAUUGGUGAGCAUAAGACCUUUGUCAUGGUAGCAGUAACUAAUACAGUUUGGAACCCCUGAUCACCAGGCUUUGUGGCACGAUUUUUCAAUGGAGCAAGGAACUUCCGUAUGUCUGGUCCAAAGCCUUGAUCAAACAUUGUAUCUGCCUCAUCCAGAACCUGCAAACGCAAAAAAAAAAAAAUCAAAAUAAGACUAUUAGGAGAACAGUGAAGAUGUCACAAAAUGGUAUGUAUCUGUCACACAAACUUAAUAACAUACCAGAUACUUAAUAUCACCGUAAACCAUGUUACCAUCCUUAAUAUGAUCCAAGAUCCUUCCAGGAGUACCAACAACCAUGUCAACAGGCAUGUUCAAAGAAUCUUCCUGGGGUCUUAGACGGGUGCCUCCACUAACCAUCGUUGACCGGAAACGCGCAUGAUGGCUGAUGGACUUUGCAACACGAUAGACCUGUAGUUUGAGCAAUGUGCAUGAACUACUGCUGCAACCAAGAUAUAGCAUUGUUACCAGAAAAUAGUUUGUAUCAUGACCAACCUGCUCAGUUAGCUCCCUUGUGGGGCAGAGUACUACUGCUCUUGGCCGCCUUGGCUUCAUUGACAUUCCCAACAUUGCUUCAUCACGCCGAAGUAGCUACAAGAUAAAGAAAGUGCCAUGGUUACCUUUUGUUAGGCAUAUCCUGACUCACAGAUAUAUAUAAUGGAGAAAAUCCCUAAUUUCUAGUUUGGAGAAAGAAAAAACUGCUUUAUUCAAAUCCAAUAAGAUUAUAACAUAUUAGGUUUGUAAUCACGCUUUGUCAUUAGAUGACUUGCAUGGGCGAUAAAUUUUUUCUUGGCUUCAAUAGCCUUAGAUGAUAUAGCAGCAAGCAGCCAUCAGGAAUUCGUAGUGAUGAAAACAUGGCACCUCAAUCGAUUUUACAAAAUGAGUGGAAAACGUCUCAAAGGACAAGAAAUGAUCCUCAAUGACAUAAGUCGUGUACCAUCGUUUUACUAAAAUCAUGAGCUAACAAUGGUGAAAUAAAAAUGAAUGCAUAAUGCAAAGCAAUUUACUCUUUCCUCCACGAUUAUUACAAUUGUACAGGCAAGCAACACCAUAUUGAGAAGAAGGAAGUACCUGAACAAGAGGGAGCAGGUAGGCGAGCGUCUUCCCGGAUCCCGUGUGCGAGCCGAGCACGACGCUGGUGCCGUCCAGAACCGCGGGAACGCCGACGCACUGGAUCUCCGUGGGCUUGGAGAUGCCCAUCUCCCCGAGCGCGGCCAUCACCUCCUCCCCGAGCCCGAGCUCCUCGAAGCUCUCCGCGGCCUCGACCCUCCUCCCCUGCUGCGGGUGCUGCGAGGUCCGCUCCCCGCCCCUCGCCGCCUUCCCCCGCGGGGGAAGGUUCGGGGAGCCGGGGGAGGAGGAGUCCUUGAGGUGGCGGAGGCGGAGGCGCUCGAGGAGGAGCUCGUGCCGCGGAGGGGGAGCGGGAGCGGAGGUGGGGGUGAGGGUGGGGGCGGCGGUGGAGAGGGCCGCGCGGAGGAGGCGGAGGCGGAGGGGGGACGGGCGGGAGAGCAGGAGGCAGCGACCGGCGGCGGCGGCGCCGGCCAUCGCCAUGGGUGACUGGUUGAGGGUUUAGGGAGGGGAGGGCGCGGAUAAGAGCUGCUCGUGCUGCGGAUACGCACGGAGCCGUCCCGAACCGGGCCCGAGCUACCCAGUGGAGAAGAGAGAGCCCAGAGCACGAUCCAAACGGUGCCACUGCCAGUGGGCCUCAUGACCAUGCUACGCCUAUUUCCAAUUAGUGCAGGAUCAGAUAGGGCUAGUUACUUUGAGUUCAGAUCAUGCAAAAAGGUUUGGAAGCGAACGACAAAUUAACGGUCCAUUUGGGGUGGUUGCUGUUGCUGCAAAGGGAUUGAUCCAUGCUGAGGAAUACAUUUGACUCCACUGAUUACCAUAGUGGUGCGUGUCUGGUGCCACACGGUCAUAGUUAUGAUUUUAGCUAUUUUCAUGUCAUGCACAAAAGGGUUUUUAGCUGACUCUUACUUGUCCAUUGUCACUUGUUAUUUCGAUAUAUUGUUUGUUCCACCGUUUUGUGGUUGAACGCCUACCAAAGUUCAUUUGCACGGUGAUAAUAAUCUGGUGUCAGAGCAACUCCAGGAGUUUCCAAAAAAUUCUUCCUAAAUGAGAUAUUGGGGGCUAUACUAAAUUUUUUUCUCCUAAAAACAUAUCAACCCACAACAGAUCGCUAAAAACUAUCUCCUAAUAAUUCAAAACAGGUCAUGUCAUCGUAUUGGGCCCAUUAGAAUCCGUUGCUUUUUUUCCCCACCACCACGACCAGGAGCCCCCUCACGUCACCAACCCCUGUGCGCACGGUACCCGUCAAAAUCCUUCGUCCGGUACCCCUCUCACGCCACCAGUCCCUGCGGACGGAGGACUCACGCCGGCAGCCCCGUGCAAGGAGGAGCAGUCCUGCGCCCUCCAAUCACACCGGCAGCCCUUGGGCACGGAGGAGCAGUCCUGCGCCCUCCAGUCACACCGGCAGCCCCUACGCACGGAGGACAAGUCACGCCGGCAGCCCUUGCAUCCUGCACCCUCCAAGUCACGUCGGAUCAAAGUAAGGAUUCAUGUCCAUUGAGGCAUGUGGUCGCUUCCGGACCAUUGAGGUCCAAUUUAAAUGUUUGAAACUGCUAAUGCAAAAGUUCCAGACAAAUGGUGAAGAUCCCAACCUCAAAAUAGGUAGAAAUCUGAAACAAGCACCCGUACCCCUUGACCUUUGUUCCAUUCUCGCUUUGUGAACGUCAAUAUACUCAUUUCUUCACUUUGCAGCUUUCUGAAUUUACGCUUACAAUUGAGUCUAGAAUAGCAUUACACAAAAGCACCCAUCAAUUGGCUGCAGAGAACAUAAUGUUUCCAGACUCCGAAUCAGGCAAAGAAACCAAGCAAAUAGCGCAAACGGAAGCCUGAAACAAGCAUCAAUCAGCACAGGAAUGCAACUUUGCAGAUUGAACCAAGGAGACCAACAAAUUAAAAAUCACCACAGAUACAUAUAAUUCUUGCGGUUCUUCAGAUUGCAGGUUGAUUAGUUCUGAUGGGUUCUCCAAAGAAACAACAAGACAAUUGUACACAACAUAGAGCCAUGAGCAACACUGCAUCGAUUUUGAGCACUCCGCGGGUCUCCUCGUAGAUGAGGCCGGAGAUGCACUUGACGCCGCCCCUCCUGGCCAGCCUUUGGAUCGCCGGCUUGGUGAUGCCCUGGAUGUUGUCGCGGAGCACCUUGAGGUGGUGCUUGGCGCCGCCCUUGCCCAGACCCUUGCCGCACCCCAAAAUCCCGGAAACCGGGAAGCUUCGCUCGUAGCAACCUCUGACUUCCACUAGCGCGAGAUGCGGCGGAGCACGGCAGCAGGUUGAAGCCUACCCGGACGAGGCACUCCCUUGCCACCUCCUCCGACAACCCGGGGAUCAGCUCGCCCCGCUGCUCACCUCGCUGGCGCUGCUGCUGCCGCUCGCCUGGCCGCCACCACCCUUCGCCCCGCCGGUGCCGCAGCCCCUCACCCCGCCACCGCCGCUGCGUGCGCAGGAAGGUCCGACUGCUCGGGUGCGCGGUCGGUGGGUGCUGCGGGGCGGCCGGCGCCCUAGUGUGUGCGCCCGGGAAAAAAACGCGCAUGGGCGGAUUGGGGAAGACCGGGCGUCACGAAUAUAUGCGGGGCGAAGGGUGUUUUUUUCCGCCGCUAAUCUUCUGGGGAGUUUUAGGUGGACUGUUGGAGUUCUUUUUUUCUCUUUUUUUUCCCUAAAGAAGGUUUUGGGGUAAGAUUAGCAGCCUUUUGUAGUUGCUCUUACCAUUGGUUUAUUUUGGUUGGAUGUGCGCCUUGCCUGCUGUGAUCCACUGAUCUACCGUACCACGUGGGCCGUGGCCCAGCAACUGCUACGUGGGCCCAUCCUCAGCCCCAUGCCAAUCCUCCGGUCACCCCUUUCUUCAACCUCCAUCUUUUCUCUAUGAAGUCUGGACACAAGAGGCUCUUUGAAAGCUCGCUCCUUCACUCGAUUCAAUUGAGUCUCCCCCACAACCAUCCUCAACAACAUCCCCCUAGCUUCACACAUACCAUGGCUUCAUCGUGUUCGUCUCCCCAAAGAUCUCUUGUUCUUGCUCCCAAGAAAAUCAAGAAAUCCCCAUUUGUUCAUCCCAUAAAUCCCCCAAUCCCAAAAUCUGAGAUCUCCUCUAAUUCUUGGCAGCCUCUUUCAGCCUCCAUCGGGCUUGAUAUACAAUGGGGUCGCCGAAGGAGGGCCUUCGGCCAAUUCUGGCAAUUUCAGCCCGUAUUGCCAUUGGAGGCAGCCGACUGAAGAUGGAUUCUGUCCUGCCAAGCCAAGAUCGAAACAUCAACCGGUACACUGUACUGUAUGCUCCCAGCAUCCAUUUCCCCUUCAAAUUCACGCAAACCGCAACUUGAAUUCGAAUUCCCUUUCGCUCGUCCGGCUAAUUUCCAUUUUGUUGCAGAUUCGUAAUGCAGGCAAAAUGAGAACAUUUCUCGCAAGGCAAUGUAGGAGCCCAGCAAGUCUGUUGGCGCCUCGUUUGAGGCCCUUUGGCCGCUCCUCGCCCAGCCUAUCGCGGAUCAACAAGCCGAUCGGCGCCGGGGCUUUUCGAAGCAUGAUGAUAAUAUCGAUCCCUCCUCUUGAACCCCUCACCUCCGAACCGAAGCAAACGCAAGGAACAAUCACCACCUCCUGACACCAUUGCUAGAGAAGAGACCGCAGCUCGCCCCCAUGCCUGCGCCCACGUACCAUCGAGGUAAUCCGCGUGCUCCUCACUCCCCCCAAACCCCUUUCACCGUGCAUUCCUCGCUUCCCGAUCCCCCUUUAGCUCUCGCAUGUCUCUUGUUGGCAAAAUAGCCAUGUUACCCGUUCAUGCAGUACAUAUAUAGCGUAAAUUUACCCGCACCGCGGUACUAGAGCGUCACGGUAAACAAGUUUAUCGGCUCCGUCCCUCUAUUUCCACUGGACUCCCAGGGAUACGCCAUUGGCCUCCCACCGCCGCCAGUCCCUACCACACCACCCUUGCGCCUGUGCUCGGAACCGAAGAGAGGCUGCACUGUGACUUGCCGAAGGAGGGUGUCGACGAGAGUGUGCCUCCGACGUCGCACUGAAUAGGCCGAGUGCGGCAGUUCCGACCGAUCUAUUCGGCGCAAGAGAAGGGUGCCAUCCUGGAGAAGGCAGGUUGUACCCUAGAUCCGAGGGCCUUGGAGGUGGGGGAGCGAAGGAGGAGGCUUGAUCUGGCGGCCGGAGUAGCGUGGCAGGUGGAAACAAGCGUGGAAAGGUUCGGCGAGAGGGCAGCCAUCUGUGCAAGCGGCGGCGGCGAGGUUCACCGGUUCAGGCGGGCACAUCCGAUGAGAGCUCCACCGCGCGCUCCAACUAGGGUCCUGCCCAACUCAGGUAUGUUCACCCUUGCUACCCCCUGCGGUUGUCCAAGAUCUAGGUUGUUCGGUGUCAAAUCUUUUAGGGUUAACUAGAUUGGGUUUUGAUGCUUGAGGAUAUUGCAGCCGGCACGUUCCCACUUGUUGCUUGUUGGCACUUGCUGCUAAUUAAUAAUUAGCUUGCUUCUAUGUUGCAUCUCGGAGAAAAGAACAUGCUAAGGCAAUUUACAGAGGCACAUGAGUAUUUGCAAAUAAAGAUCUAAAUAUUAUGCCUUAAUCUAAUAGGUACCAAACCUUGACAUUUAGCCUGAACACCAGACAUGCCAUUCUAAUAUGGAGCUUCUGCUUCAUUACUAGUGCCUUCUCUGAAAUGCCUUUUCUUCUGCUUCGUUAUCCAGCAUAAGUGGCAUAGGGAUAAUGGCAUUACCAUUGCCUUCUUUGAGAGUUUUUUUUGUCUUGUGUUCCUGAGAAGAUAAUUGCAAGAUCACAUAGUGGAAAUGAAAAAAAAACAUGUAUAGAGUUAAUAAAGUUAAACACUAUUUGUCUGAAUUUUUCUGCUUAUCAGGUCAUUUCUUAUGCUAAAUAAUUUUGUACUAGGACUCUGUUUUUCAUGAACAAACUUGGUGGGUUUUGAUCAGUUACUUGAAAAAAGUAAGUUGUGCCCUACAUUUAAUCUAAACUUGGUGGCUCACGAGAACUUUACAUACUCACAUAUCAUGCUUAAAUCAUGUCAUGUGCUACUAUUGAUAUCUUUUUUGCCUGUGAUUUCAGGAUGGACUCUAACCAGUCCAAUGUUCCUGAUGGAUCACAGGGAGCUUUUUCUGGUGGCAACAAUUCUCCCUACCAGGCUGCCUGGAACCCAUACAUGCAUGGUUACCAAGGUCCUCCAUCUUGGUUCCCCCAAGGAUUCGAGCAGCUUCCACCCAAUGUCCCAAUGAUUUAUCCAAGUACCAAUGGUCCAUAAGUGUUUCAUCCAGCUGAAAUGGCACAUGCAUCUGUGCAAAAUGAUAAGGUAGAUGUGGAGGAAGUGCUCGUCCCUCCAGCGCUAGCUCCUAUAGGAAAAGGAAGGAGGAAAAAGGCUAUCAAUAGGACCAAGUUAGGCAACUUCAACCCAGACGAAGAUGUAAACAUUGUGAAGUCAUGGCUUGAAAUAAGCUGUGACCCAAUUACAAGUACCGCGAAAAAAAAAGAUCGCAUGUGGGAUAGGAUUGUGUAGCGGUACAAUUUGAGGAGGGGAUCCUACCCAAAAAGGAGUUUGAGGUCUUUAUAGAGCCGUUGGGACAUAAUCAAGGCCGAAGUGGGGAAGUUUUCAUCCUUCUAUGCUGAUGCCAUUCGAGAGAAUCCUAGCGGGAUGUCGGAUGCCGAUAACGUUGCGGUCUGUUGACCCAUUUUAUUUUCCAUGCAUUUUGUUGUAAAUUUAACAACAAUUAUUUCCUGUUGCGGACCACUCAUGCAACAGUUACACUUCUGAUAUGAGGUACUAGAGACAUGGAGUGAUCGAUAUUUGAAAUAUGCUCAACUUUAGCUUGCGUACUUCUAGGCAAUAUGCAUCCAUGUUUUCCUUAUGGCGGUCUCACACGUCGUUGACUUGAUUGAUCACCACCAGUGAGUUGCUGUAGACCAGCAAUUGCUUUUAUUCCUAGCGAGACUGCCAUGCGGAGCCCAUGCAAAUGCGCCUCGUAUUCGGCUUCAUUGUUGGACACUUCCCAAAUGAUGUGCAGGACAUACUUGAGUUGUUCGCCUUUGGAAGAUAUCAAGAGUACUCCUACGUCGGCGCCCUCGAGUUUGAGUGAUCCAUCGAAAUACAUGACCCAAUGCUUUGGAGGGGGUCCCCGCCUUACCUUAUAUUGCCGGGGGCAGGGUUACAUGUUAGUUGGUUACAAGAAUACUAAUCGGAUAUGACUAGAAGAGUUCUACUCUUUUACUACGAGUACUCUUCUAAUACUCGACUAGUUCCCGUCUUUCCAUGUAAACUACGCCGUUCUGCGCCACAGUCUCCAUGUCAGAUGCAUCUCGAUAUCCAGUUAAUGUCCAAACCUUCUGGUGGGCCUAUAGAUAUAUGUACGACAGGAGGGCCAUCGUACACAAUUCGUUGCCCUGUGAUGGAGCGGGGAUCAAAGCCUAUCAAUGAACCCCUUGACUGGAACAGAACUUAGAUAGAACAUGCAGCAGGCAUAACAAGAACAGGUUUAGCUGGACUGAGUAUGAUGUUGCAUCAUUGCAUGGUCCCGAAGGUUGUAAACCCCCUUAACUAGAACAGGGGUAUUCUGCAUACUGUGUUUUGCCACAGGAACAAGGUUCUCUGGGUUAGUUGUUCCGUUGCGUGCUGCUUAAGCUUGUAAACCUGUAAUGGCUCUGGUAUUCGACCUUGUUUUUUUGUACAGCAUUUAGUUCGUGGAAACUAUGUAAAUUGUACCGUUAUCCCUUAGAAUACUGUCGUCAUGUGAAUACUCGAAUUGUGCUCUCGGAAUGUAUUCUGUGGUUGCUGAUUUGUGCUUACUCGUGCCAUCAGACCUUCUUCGUCCUGCGGACAAAUAACGCGCACUUUUUCCUGGUAUAAAACGAUUGUGAUGGGUGGUACUUAUCUGGCUAAUCGGAUUGGAACAAAAUUUAUUGGUGGAACAGGUUUGUUUGUGUCUGUAACUCUGGCAGUCGCUGCAUCCACAGCAUCCAAAAGGAGCUGCGCUCAGAACAAAGUGCUACCUCCGUUCUAAAUUGUAGAUUAUUUUAGCUUUUUUCUAGACAUACACUAUAUUUGGAUGCAUAUAAACAUUCAUGAACUUAGUUCAAAACGACAUGUAACUUGGAACAGAGGGAGCAGCUAUUAUAUACAGAGGCAACGGCUGAAGCAGGUUGAAAGUUGAAACUAUCAUGCUCCUUGACUCGUUGGUGUAUUGGAUUAGAAUCAAAUAUGUUUGUGAGCACCAAAAGGCAAACUAUGUUUGUGAGCCUGAAGCCCUGAAUACCCCAUAUUCCUAGUUCAUUAUAAUGUACUAGCAUGGGUGGCGCCCUUCGCCGCGUCCAUGCCAGUUCCUCGUUAAUUUACACACAGAAAGAAAAUGUUCUGAGCCAGCUGCAGUGAGGAAGCAGGUGCUCUAAUGUCGCUGGAUAGAUUGGUAGGAGUAGGCAGCAACAUCAUUGGGUGAUUGGGUCUGAUGUAAGUCCUGAUGACAAACAAAAUUCAAAAUAAGCAUGCAAAGCCCAUACUGUCAACAGGCGUUCGCUGCAUCUUGUACCUGCAUGGAUCUCAUUAAUGUUAAUUUUACUUGGUGUGGAGAAAUCAGCAAUAUUGAUGUUUAAAUCUAUGGGGCUGUACUUGAGAUAGCUUCACACAGCUAACCGCUUAUCUAAUCCUAUAUGCUGGGAAAGUAGAAUCUCGCUUAGAAGGUCUGCCAAAAGAGGAGUAACAUGUCGUUUAACUUCUUUCCCUCUUCUUGAUCUGAAUGGACAAUAUGCUGCAAAUUUCUUUUCAAUCCUGUAAGAAAAAUGGAUGUAUAGAGGCCCACUGACGAAUAGACGCCUGGAGAAAUAUCUUAGUGGGGAAGUUAUCGAAGAAAAAUAGCAUGCGUGACGAACCGUCGAGAAGUCACCAACUUGAAUUAUGAAAUCUUUAAUCGCUAUUGGAUUGACAGCCCUUAUAAGUUAUAACCCUGUCGCAAACCAUUUUUCCUGCAAUCAUCGUCAAAGCUAAGAAUUAGAAGUCGUAUAGCAGACUGUGAUCUGCAAAAUAAUUUCAGAAUUACUGGAGCAACAUUGUGCUUGCAUCCUGAUCCAGUUGCUAAUCAAAUUACAACCACCAUCAGUAUCCUGUGCCAUAGUCAUUGUAUCCACCUCCCAGGUACAGCAUUGAAAAAAUGCAAUUCAUUGCACCCAUAGGAAAAUACUUUCCAGUCCCAAAGCAGUGCUAUAUCGUCAUGCCACAUUUAUGCACAUUAUCCUAAAGACCCAAAUUCAUAUCCUUGCAUCGCCCCAACAUCAGUUGAAGUAAACAUGAAGGUCAAGCAAGAAACAACUUAUUAUACCAAAUAACACAAAAAUAUCAUACAAGUCAGGCACAAAAAUAUUCUAUAAUUCAGGUAGUAGCAAAAAUAACACAAAAAUAUUCUACAAGUCAGGUAGUCCAGAUCUGUAAAUAUUCUAUAAUCUCAACUUGUCACCAAUCAUAAUAAUCAACAAGAGUACAGAAAAUUUUGCUCUUCUUCAGUUCUUUCUGUUCUUUCCUUUUUCACGCUGGCUAAUCUCCUGAUCAGAUGAGAACAUGUGAAACUAUAGAGUAUGGGGGGAAAUGAUAAAUUUCAUGGCUAGGGAGCGUAUAUACCUACCAAAUAACUUGUCAAAUGUAACCAUGGAAGUAUUUCAUUGAGGAGCUAUACUGAUAGGAAAAUACAAAUACAAAUGAGAAAUUUCAUCUCAACCACAGGAAAGCUUCCAAUUGUCACCACUAAAGCCUCUCUUAACUUUUUUAUUUUUUUACUUCGAGAAUACUCUGCAGUCGCUUCUCUAACCACUUGGAGCAAGCCAUUAGGUAACAUGUGAAAACCUAAAAGAUGCCGCACAUUCAACUUUAGGCCUCAACCGGAGCAUAUGAACUAAUGAACUGUACUGAAAUAAAACUCUGUAAACAAAAAUUGUAACGCUUAAGCGAAUAAAAAAUCCUGUCAUAACAGAUAUCCACAAACAAAAAACUUAUCUUCCAUUAUCAGCCAUCUACAUCAUGUUCUUUAUCCUCCAGUAGUAUCUGCAUCAAAAUUUCGAAUAUCAAGCAACCCACUAGCAAAUCUAUAUAGCAUCUAAAGAAAAUGGACAACAGUUUUCAAGCAUUACUGUGCCUAUGGUAACGCAGUUACAUGUGUUUUACACAGUAAAAAGACAACCGUUUCAAAACUAGCAUGCAUCGUUAGAAGACCAUUUGCAUUUUCCUCGUAAGGGCUUUUGUUACCCGCAGCAAAAAUCAAGGCCAAUAUUCUCACUCUACAGUUUCUGUCUCUCUGAUUAUACAGAUCUACCUGAUACCUGUCCUACGAUUCUAAUAAUUCUAUUUGACUAUAUAAUGGUUCAAUCUAAGCUGGGCUCAUACAACAUACCUACUUUAAGAUUUUCAUGACAAUAUAUAUCUACAUAGGUAAAGUGGUAAACACAGGGAGAAAAAUUCAGACCAAACCAUGAAAAUAGUUAUUAAAAAGAAAAAACAACAAGCUUAUGUUAACCGAAGCUUCACAUGGAGCGAGAUUCACAGCUGGACGUUUGUCAUCAUCUACAAUAGGCCUGUAUCCAACACCAAGGCAUUAUGCCAUAUACUACACGAGGCCUGUAUCCAACAUCAAGACAUCAUGCAACCAAAAUGCUGCAAGGAUAUAUAAUAUUACCAAAGCCUUUUUGAGAGCAACAUAUAAGCAAUAAUUUGCAAGAAAUCUGAAAGGUUGAUCUUAUCAAAUCAUACGAACAAAGUAACUGAAAUACAACAACACCACUGGUCUAUAUGGUAGGAGGGGACCAUUUUGUCCAUUCUUGCGUUAUUCUUUGAAAGAUGUGAUGCCAAGAUAAUGAUUUAUGUUAACGACUGUAAAUUUGCAAGCACGUGAAUAAUAUCCAAUUUGCAACGCAUCUUUUCUUACGAUGUGCUUAAGAUGCAACCAACGAAAGGCAAAAAUACCUCCAAUAAUAUUGUUCCCAGUCUAACAACAAUAGCUAUAACUGUUUCUUUGGUGCGACUGCUGGCCCCGAUCAUGGACUUCAAUCGCUGGGGAAUGUGCUUCAGUUUGAUCACACAAUGCCUCUCCAUGGAUAGCUUGGUCCAUUGGUGGUAACAAAAUGCAUUGACCUCUUGUUUCUCCUUUUUUUCUAUCCCUUCCUACCAGUGAGGGGGGAAAGGAUGGUGCGUAAACUGUUCAUGUGUGUGGUCAUUAGUCAGAUUUGCAUGGCUCCAGAGAAGAAAAGGCAUGUAUGCAAUUUCUGUGCUUUUAUAAUGUGUUAUGAUGAUGUAUUGUUAUCAAAUAUCAAUUUUAUAAUUGUGGGGGUAAACACUGCUGGCAUACUAUUUUAUAUCUGAAUUGUUUUUUUGAAAAGUAUACACAUUGGCCAUUACUUUCUUACACAGAUUAUUAAAGGUUGACGAAGCAACAUUUCAAAGAAUAAACUUCACGAUGCAUUGGUUGAUCUCCAAACAUAAUUCUUUCAGCACCAUACAAGGGAUCACUAACAUACUCCAUUAACCUCGGUGUGCUUGACCAAAUAAAAACUUACUGAUGCUCUCCUACCGAUUAAAGAAAAACAACAAAGAUUUAAUUUAGUUUCUAGGUUCCUCCAGCGUCUCAUGAUCCAGAACGUAAUCUUCUCCUUCGUCUUCCUCCUCUUCAUGGUCAUCGGCGACCUCGACCAUCAUAGAGACGUAGCCUUUCAAUGCAAUCUGUCGUUUAAAAUUCUCCUGCUCCGCGAGCAUGCGGCGAUCUUCCCUCUCUCCCAAGGCGUACAGUUCAGGAUCAAAGACCUCCAACCACGCCUCUGUCUCCGGGUCACAUGUCUCCAGCUCCUAGGACAGGACGUAGUCCACCUCGCUCUGCGGCAUCAUGAUCUCCUUCAUCUUCUUCCUGUUCCCCUCCAGCUUGUUCUCCGCGGCGUCCACCGCUGUGCUCACGGCGGCACUCGGAACUUGUUGACCGAAGGCCAAGAUGUCACCGUCAUCGUAGUCAUCAUCUUCGUACUCACCAUCCUCCUCUCCGUCUUCGUCAUCAUUCACCUCGACCGCGGUAGAGACGUACCCUUUGUCCGCAAUCUGUUGCAUGAAAUCCUCCUGCACUGAGAGCAUCCAUCUGUUCUGCUUCUCUCUGAAGGCGACCAGGUCAGGAUCCAGUCCCAAACCCAUCGCCUCCAAGCUCGCCAGCAACUCCGGCUCCAAGGGCGCCAUGGGCUCGAAGGACAAGGCGUAGUCAACCUCUCGCUGCGGCAUGAUGAUCUCCUUCUUCCUCCUCCUCCUC